rnacentral:rRNA from 1 species
UACGGGGGAGCAAGCGUUGUUCGGAUUUACUGGGCGUAAAGGGCGCGAUAGGCGGCGUGACAAGUCACUUGUGAAAUCUCCGGGCUUAACUCGGAACGGUCAAGUGAUACUGUCGUGCUAGAGUACAGAAGGGGCAACUGGAAUUCUCGGUGUAGCGGUGAAAUGCGUAGAUAUCGGGAGGAACACCAGUGGCGAAGGCGGCUGCCUGGACCCUUUGCUGACGCUAA